rnacentral:ribozyme from 13 species
GAAAAUGAAAAAAGAGAAAGAGAAAGAAAUGGAAAAGAGGAAAGAUAUGAGAUUUGGGUUGGAGAAAAGGAUCAUCUUCUUUGUCUUUCUCCUCUUUUUCUGUCUUCUUCUCUCUCUUCUCUCUCUCC